rnacentral:rRNA from 1 species
CUACGGGAGGCAGCAGUAAGGAAUAUUGGUCAAUGGRCGCAAGUCUGAACCAGCCAUGCCGCGUGRAGGAUGAAGGCCCUUGGGUUGUAAACUUCUUUUAUAUGGGACGAAAAAGGGCCUUUCUAGGUCAACUGACGGUACCAUGUGAAUAAGCACCGG